rnacentral:rRNA from 1 species
GUUCUUCGGAUUGUAACCUAGUGGCGANCGGCUGAGUAACACGUAAGUAACCUGCCUUGGAGUGGGGAAUAACUUCCGAAAGGCGAACUAAUACCCCAUGUGGUAAUGAAGCGUAANCUUCAUUAUUAAAGCUUUCGGGCGCUCCGAGAGGGACUUGCGUCUGAUUAGCUAGUUGGUAGGGUAAUAGCCUACCAAGNCGAUGAUCAGAGCUGGUCUGAGAGGAUGGUCAGNCAGAUGGGGACUGAGACACGCCC